UGCAGUUAGGUACAGCCCUCUAACUGAGUCCUGGCCAAUGGAAUGUGGGCAGAAGUUACGUGUGCCUCCAGCCUUGGCACAUAAAAACUCUUACCUAUUCCUACACACACUUUCUUGUCUUCCCUGCUGGCUGAACACAGAGGCUCUAUGGGAUGGUGGAUUCCUAAGAUGGGAAGAGCCUAGGUACCCACCUGCAAGCUAACCAGCAUUAAACUGCAAGGAAAGUGAGAGGAGCCGGGGGUGCAGCUACAUUCAAGAUCAAUGAGUUAUAGCCACAUGCAAGGCCAUGAAAAGUAAUACCCUUCAGGAGAGUGGAGUUUCCGGUAUUCUUGCUGAGCCAAAAAGACUAGGAGAGAAAGAGCCAUGCUACCCACCAAAGUAUUCAGAAGUACAGGGUGGGCUUCAGAGAAAACUAGAAGAUUCUGCUUUGAACACAGAUAAGUAACUUCCACUUCAGUUUACCUCUAUAUACAGUGGAGUUCUGCAGGAUGGAGAGAGUGUGGAUAGCAGAUUACAGUUGCUUAUAGCUUCCUGCAGCCUUAUCUCUUCCUAAACCUUACCAUCUCCUCCAUCACCUCCUAUGCCCCUCAGACUCAGAGAAGGCAAGAAUCAACCAAAGGCAAAUAGGUAUUUUUAAAAACUUACCGAAAACUUGAUACAUCUUAACCUAUUUAUCCUGACAAAGUCAGUUCAAAAGUCCUCUCCUCCAUCAGCCUCACUUGGCUUCCCAUGCCACUCCACAAGAAAGAGUUGGUUCCUCCUUCCUGUGGAUGGGCCUAAAGGCACUGUGUUUAGCCUUUCUGAUGUUCAUGGGUCAGUAUUCUCCUGAUGCUAUGGUUUGAAUGUUUGUCCCCUCAGAAACUCAUGUUGAAACAUAAUCUCCAAUUUAACAGUAUUAAGAGAUGGGGUCUUUAAGAAGUGAUUGGGUUAUGAGGGCUCUUUCCAUAACCCAAUGGAUAAACAGAUUAAUGAAUUAACAGAUUAAUGGGUUAAUGGAUUAAAUGGAUUAAUAGAUUAAUGGGUUAAUGGAUUAAAUGGGUUAUCACAUGAAUGGGGUGGUUAUCACAAGAGUAGAUAUGUUAUAAGAGCCAGUUUGGCUCUCGGUGCAACCCCCCUAUUACCCUGGGAUGCCUUCCACAAUGUUAUGACACAGCAUGAAGCCCUCACCAGAAGCCAACCAGAUGCAACCACUUGAUCUUGGACUUCUCAGCCUCUAGAACUGAUGAAGGUAAGAUACUGAAGAAUUCCAAGAAGACUGGAGGGGGCAGUGCUGGAGGAGAAGAAAGCAACAUAGGGCCUGGUGCAAGCCCAUGCAGGAUGGGGCCCCUUCCCAGAAGUCCUGAGCUAGAGCCCCGGAAUCCUGCCCUGGAAUCUCUACUGGAGCUACCCUCUGGCCCUUCUUUAAGACGUUCAAAUGUCGGAGCAGAAGAGGAGAAGGAAGAAAGGGUUGUCCUCUUUGUCUUGGGUAGUUUGAUGCCUCAGAAGGAGAGCAAAGGCGAAAACGUUGGCCAGCCAGUAUGAACAAUGCAAGGUCCUCAAAGCUUAGGAGCCACUGACCCUAAAUGUCAAAGUCAGCCUUGAGUGAGGGUCAAGUGCAGAUUCCCCUCCUCACAGCUGUUCCUGUGAAAGGGCUCACUUUCAUUGGGAAACAUAGUUAUCUUCUCUCCCAGAAUAGGAAGUGGCUACAGCACAAGCCCCUCUUCGUUAGACCCAGCCUCCCCCUCCCCUUUGUCUUGCCAAGAAAUGCUGCAAACCCCAAAUACCUGCAUUCUUGGGCAUGCAGCAGGCCAGAGCCAUGCUUGGAU
rnacentral:lncRNA from 1 species